rnacentral:misc_RNA from 1 species
UAAGGCUGCAAAACUUGCCAUACAGCUCAUUCAGGCAGGAAGCGUGAAGCCAACUACCAGUGAUCGUUUCUUUACCAUACUUGAAGCUGCCAUGUCCGUGUCUUCAUCCACUCCUUGUACUGAUCCUUCAGUACGAGGAGAUUAUCAUGCAUUGUUUUCUGCUGCACAAUCUACAGUGGAAUGCCUUAACAGAAAGCAGAAGAACCAGUUAACAACCUGGACAAUUCAGACUGUGUUGGCAAAUGAUUUGUUGACAGAUGACAGUUUUGUGUUUUCAAAGACAGCUGGACAAAUAAAAGAAGCUAUCUCUAAUCUUCCAGUUGCAACUAAGGAGGAUGACAUUGAGGAAGCUGAAGUACUUAGAGGCCAUGAAGAGAGCACUGAUGAUGAACAUCAGCAAAAGAAGAAUGCUGCUCCAACUGAAGAGAAAAACCAGGAAGAAUCUGAUCCAUUUGGGCUUGAUGCUUUUCUGCCUGGUUCGUUGAAGAAAAGUGAGAGGGAAAAGGUAAAGAAUGAUGUGGCAUCCAUGACUAGAAAUGAUGAAGAAAUGGAGACUAAGAGUUUUCUCAAAGCACAAAGAAAUGCCCUAAUUAGCUGUUUAGAAAUUGCUGCUCAUCGGUAUAAAAUCCCAUGGUGUCAAACCGUCAUUGAUAUCUUAGUGAAGCAUGCCUUUGAUAAUGUUACGAGGUUCACAUCGCAGCAACAGGAUGCGAUUGGGAAAUUGUGGGCUUCAGUAAGGGAACAACAAAAUCGUAGGAAACAAGGAAAAUCAGUCUCGGGUAAACUUGAUGUAAAUGGAUUUGAAUGGCUGCAACAGAAAUAUGCCAAUGAGAAGAUCAGCAUUCGGCAUUCUGUUGGGGCUAGUGGCGAUCGAAAAGCACAACAGUGGCUUGGUUGACAAAUCAGCCUUUCCUUAAG